GAUAUAUGGAUUGUGAGUAUAGAAGUGUGUUUUGAACCCUUUUGCAGGUUGGGUAGGUCCUAGGUAUAGGGGAGACUCUGCCGGAUUUUCGGCACGACUUAGGACGUAAUUGGUCUUUUCUUUGUUUGUAUUGAGUCAGAUUGUAUUAAAUAAAUGUAAUAUGAUUGUCAGGUGAGCCGGGACAGCCUUCUUCCUCCGCCCAGCCGCCACAGUAAUUUGUCGUCAAGUCUGCCACAGGAGGAUAUUUUGUUCUGGGUUAACCUGCUUUUCUCCUUCGCAGGUGUUUAUCAAUAAUUGUGUAAUUUUAUUUACUCCUAGAAUUUCCGCAUGUGUUAGCAGUAAUUAUUUGAAUUUGGUCUGUAAUAUUAUAUUCAUGUUGGACCUGUAAACUCAAUAUUUUAAGUCUGUUUUGAUGGAUUGGAUGAGGGAGCUGAGCUCCCAUUUAUUAUUAUGUUGAUGAGUAUGUGGAGGGUGAGCUGAGCUCCCCAAUAGAUUGUUUAUUGUGUUUACAGGUCGGGUGAGUCGAAAACUCCCCGUUGGAAAGUCCAUUUUAUGGCCGGACUCUGUCCGUUUGUUUU